rnacentral:rRNA from 1 species
AAUUAUACAGCGAAACUGCGAAUGGCUCAUUAAAUCAGUUAUCGUUUAUUUGAUAGUGCCUUACUACCUGGAUAACCGUGGUAAUUCUAGAGCUAAUACAUGCUAAAAACCCCGACUUCGGGAGGGGUGUAUUUAUUAGAUUAAAAGCCAAUGCCCCCCGGGGCUCAUUGGUGAUUCAUGAUAACUUCUCGAAUCGCACGGCCUUGCGCCGGCGAUGGUUCAUUCAAAUUUCUGCCCUAUCAACUUUCGACGGCUGGGUAGUGGCCAGCCGUGGUGACAACGGGUAACGGAGGGUUAGGGCUCGACCCCGGAGAAAACGCCUGAGAAACGGCGUUUACAUCCAAGGAAGGCAGCAGGCGCGCAAAUUACCCAAUCCCGACUCGGGGAGGUAGUGACGAUAAAUACUGAUACAGGGCUCUUUUGGGUCUUGUAAUUGGAAUGAGUACAAUUUAAAUCCCUUAACGAGGAACAAUUGGAGGGCAAGUCUGGUGCCAGCAGCCGCGGUAAUUCCAGCUCCAAUAGCGUAUAUUAAAGUUGUUGCAGUUAAAAAGCUCGUAGUUGAACCUUGGGCCUGGCUGGCCGGUCCGCCUCACCGCGUGCACUGGUCCGGCCGGGCCUUUCCCUCUGGGGAACCGCAUGCCCUUCACUGGGCGUGCCGGGGAACCAGGACUUUUACUUUGAAAAAAUUAGAGUGUUCAAAGCAGGCCUAUGCUCGAAUACAUUAGCAUGGAAUAAUAGAAUAGGACGUGUGGUUCUAUUUUGUUGGUUUCUAGGACCGCCGUAAUGAUUAAUAGGGACAGUCGGGGGCAUCAGUAUUCAACUGUCAGAGGUGAAAUUCUUGGAUCAGUUGAAGACUAACUACUGCGAAAGCAUUUGCCAAGGAUGUUUUCAUUAAUCAGGAACGAAAGUUAGGGGAUCGAAGACGAUUAUCUGGUCGUCCACAGUGCCACCCCCAGCGGUGGCGCUAGUGCGCCGGCGCCCUGCCGGCGUGCGACAUCGUCAAAUUGUUCGGGGACCUCCUAAAGGCCACGGCACACCCCUCCGCUGGAAACGGCGCCAGGGUAGUAACAGUCCGUGGCAUGAUCGGGCGGCCGCAGGCCCACCGUGAAAUGGACAAUCCGCAGCCAAGCCCUAAAAGCAGGCCCAGCACCGCUGGCCGGCCAGGGGUGCAGUUCACAGACUAGACGGCGAUGGGGGGCUCCCAGCGGCCCCUUAAGAUAUAGUCGAGCCCCCGUUCGAAAGUCCGGGCGUACCGAAACCGCAGAUACCGUCGUAGUCUUAACCAUAAACUAUGCCGACUAGGGAUCGGACGACGUUAUUUUUUGACUCGUUCGGCACCUUACACGAAAGUAUAA